rnacentral:rRNA from 1 species
GUCGACGAUCCCUUNCUGAUUUCUUGAAGCUUCGGCUGAUAGUUUUCUAUUUGGGAUAGUGGCAAACGGGUGAGUAACACGUAGAUAACUUGCCUCGAAGUCGGGGAUAGCUCGUCGAAAGACGGGGUAAUAUCCGAUGGUCUCUAAUCACUUCGUGUGUUUUAGAGUAAAGCUUUUGUGCUUCGAGAGAGGUCUGCGUCCUAUCAGCUAGUUGGUGAGGUAAUGGCUCACCAAGGCUAAGACGGGUAGCUGGUGUGAGAGCACGGUCAGCCACCAUGGAACUGAGACACGGUCCAUACUCCUACGGGAGGCAGCAAUUAGGAAUCUUGCGCAAUGGGGGCAACCCUGACGCAGCGACACAGCGUGGAGGAUGAAGGUCUUCGGAUUGUAAACUCCUUUUAUAUGGGAAGAAUAGAUGACUGUACCAUAUGAAUAAGGACCUGCUAACUACGUGCCAGAAGCAUCGGUGAUGCGUAGGGUCCGAACGUUAUCCGGAUUUAUUGGGUGUAUAGAGAUGCGUAGGCGGUUUGAUAAGUCUUGAGUUAAAGACCUCGGCUCAACCGAGGAAAAGCUUUCGAUACUAUCAGACUUGAGGCAUAGAGGGGUGAACGGAAUUCCGAGUGGAGUGGUGAAAUACGUUGAUAUUCGGAGGAACAUCAGUGGCGAAGGCGGUUCACUGGCUAUUGCCUGACGCUCAGGCUCGAAAGCGUGGGUAGCAAAACGGAUUAGAUACCCGUGUAGUCCACGCUGUAAACUAUGGAUGCUAGGUGUUCGGUACAACUGUCUUUAAUCUUCGGAUUUUAAACGGGAGUGCUGAGUGCCGCAGCUAACGCGUUAAGCAUCCCACCUGGGAAGUACGGCCGCAAGGCUAAA